AUAAUACACACAUCAAACUCAUCUCAAUCAUUCUUUCAAUACUCUCACAUUACUUAUCGGAUUUUCAUUAAGAUUAAUUAGUCUAUUGAUAAAGUCGCUUAGUGAUCAAAAAUGGAAGCCAUGGGAGAAUGGAGCACCGGCCUAGGCGGAAUUUAUACAGAGGAAGCUGACUUUAUGAAUCAGCUUCUUGCAUCCUAUGAGCAACCUUGUGGCGGUUCAUCUUCAGAGACAACCGCCACACUCGCGGCCUACCACCACCAGAGUUCUCACUGGAAUGGUGGCUUUUGCUUCUCCCAAGAGAGCAGCAGUUACAGUGGUUACUGCACGGUGAUGCCACGGCAAGAAGAAGACAACAAUGGGAUGGAAGACGCGACAAUCAACACGAACUUGUACUUAGUUGGUGAAGAGACAAGUGAAUGUGAUGUGACGGAAUACUCCGGUAAAAGCAUCUUGCCUUUGGAGACUGUCGCAGAAAACCACGACCAUAGUAUGCUACAGCCUGAGAACUCCUUGACAAAGACCACUGAUGAGAAACUGUUCAACCCAUGUGAGAGUUCUAAGAAGAGGACUCGUGCCACAUCAACUGAUAAGAAUAAGAGAGCCAACAAGGCACGGAGGAGCCAAAAAGGCAUAGAGAUGAGUGGCGAUAAUGAAAAUAUCGGCGAAGAAGAAUAUACGGAGAAGGCUGUAGGGAAGAGAAAGACCAAACCACUUAAGCCGCAAAAGACUUGUUGUUCGGAUGACGAAUCAAACGGUGGAGACACUUUCUUGUCCAAAGAAGAUGGCGAGGACUCUAAGGCUCUCAACCUCAACGGCAAGACAAGGGCCAGCCGCGGCGCUGCCACAGAUCCUCAAAGCCUUUAUGCAAGGAUGAAACAAUUAAACAAAGUCCAUUUUUAUGAUGGUGCAGAAAAGAAGAGAGAGGAUAAACGAGAGGCUAAGGAUUUUGCAACAUCUUGUCCCUAAUGGAACAAAGGUUGAUAUAAGCACGAUGUUGGAAGAAGCAGUACAAUACGUCAAAUUUUUGCAGCUCCAAAUUAAGUUAUUGAGCUCUGAUGAUCUAUGGAUGUAUGCGCCCAUUGCUUACAACGGAAUGGACAUUGGCCUUGACCUAAAACUCAAUGCACUGACAAGAUGAUUCAAGAGACACCUUCGGAUUUUUAUUUUAUUUUUUUUGUUUAUAUAUAUAUAUAUAUAUAAAUAAUUUAAUACGAGAGAUAUGAAGAGUCACAUUUGACGUUUUAUACUCCAAUAUUAUUUUACUUUUGUAUGUCGAGUUAUGUCCAACAGUUUUUGAUUCUUGAGAUAUAUAUUGAUGUACGAACAUCUUUUUGAUAAUGGAUUUGUUUAUUUUAUUUCUUUUUUUGUUUGAAUUAUUUGAUUCGUUUACGUCAUACACGUAAAUGAUUUAAUCAGAAUUUAAUACUCUAAGGCGCUUAAUCUCCUUUGGAUUUUAUGCUUAAGCAGAAUUUAAUACUCAUAGGAUGCAUUCGGGACUUUUAACAUAUUUCUGAUCUUUUAUAAACCAUAUUUAGACCUAAAGACAUGACAAGGGAAAAAGUUGAAGGAAGAAAGAGCCGACCAGUCGGUCAAUGAUCUGACCUUGUUCGAGAACCUGGUAUAUAAGAUGAAUGUUGAGUUUCCAAACCCUAAUUAAUCAAGUUUGAUUAGUAAAAUAUCUUUUGGGUUUAUAACUUAUCUUUGUAAAAACAUGAUCAAUAUCGUGAUCUCCCUCUGCCAAUCUAGAAACAUUACUUAUCUCAUCCUUCAUUAUGUGAUUUAUGAUAUGUCUUCUUCCAUUCUAGCUACUAGUCUCCUUCCAAAUAUUAAUUAAGCAAGUGUGUAGUUUUCUAACUUGGGUCUUAGGGUAGAUCAUUGGUUAGUUUGGAUUGAUGAUUUUAGGGUUAGGACACUUCAGAUUCAUUCAAUAAAGGGUAAGGUUAAUAGUAAGAAAAAAGAAAAAAACUUGAUUACAUUGUCUUUGAAAAUAAGAUAUUUUGUGCACCACGAAUAUUCAAUCAAAACGGAAUGAGUAUACAAUUUUAAUAAAUGGGAGUUGAUGUUAAGAAAUAUUAAGAUCUUUUUGGAUUAGAGUGUUAACGUUUGUUAAUCACUUAUAUUAAAAAUGAGAUUUUAGUAGGUAUAGGUGAUUAAAAUCUUAAAAGAUGAUUAGCUACAAAGUAAUUAUCCAUUUUUAGGAUUGUGCUUUAAUUAGGCCAUUGUUGGGGUCGGAUUCCACCCGUACUAAGAUCGAGCCAAACCGUAACAUUUCGGGUACAUUGACAGCCAGCUCGGGCCAUCUUCCAAAUCGGCUCGUGAAACACUGUGUCGAUUUGGCUCGGGAACACUGACCAAAUCGGCUCGGGGACUGUGCCGAUUCGGCUCGUAAACAUUGACCAAAUCAGCUCGGGGCUGUGCCGAUUCGGUUCGGACACUGACCAAAUCGGCUCGGGGGACACCGACUAGAUUAGCUCGGGAUGCGACGGUUCGGGAUGGCAGUAACGUUUCACUUUAACCCGAGCCGAAUGCACACGCUAUCCCGAGGCGGUGUUAACAAUACCCGAGGCGGUGUUAACAAUACCCGAGGCAAAGCCUCACUACUCCCCGAGGUGAAAUAUCAGUGCUACCCGAGGCAAAACGUAUGUUGUACCCGAGGAGGAAUGCACCAAGACACCCCGAGGCAAGGACUUGGUAAAUAUUCAUCUUCAAAGUGUCAUUUCUGAACAGGAUGGCAUCAUUUUCGAAAAAGAAAGAUCAUUUC